UACAGAGGGUGCAAACGUUGCUCGGAAUUAUUGGGCGUAAAGCGCACGUAGGCGGCAUCGUAAGUCUGAUGUGAAAGCCCUGGGCUCAACCCAGGAAGUGCAUUGGAUACUGCGAAGCUUGAAUCUGGAAGAGGGUCGCGGAAUUCCCGGUGUAGAGGUGAAAUUCGUAGAUAUCGGGAGGAACACCAGUGGCGAAGGCGGCGACCUGGGCCAAGAUUGACGCUGAGGUGCGAAAGCGUGGGGAGCAAACGGG
rnacentral:rRNA from 1 species